rnacentral:lncRNA from 1 species
AUGUAUUUUCUACAAAUGAAAACUGUCUUCACUAGCAGCUUUCACUGGAAAGGCUGCUCAGCAGUUUGGGAUGCUGAUGACCCUCAAGUCCCACUGCAAACAAGAAUUUUGGAGAGGGGACCUCCUUACUUUCAAGGUUCUGGCGUAACUACAGAGCCUACUGAAAUGCUGAAGAGAAGUUCGAGGAAGAGGGAGAUUUCCAACAAAAGUGAUUUUUUUGUUUUUCCUCUUCCCUUGGGAUUUUUACAAUCUCUGAAACAAGGAUGGCUACAACUUGUUUUGAAAAGGAACUGCUCAUGGGAAUAAUGCAGUGAAAAUGUUCCCCAAUAGAAAAAAUUCAAUGAUCAAAGUUGUUACUUAAAGAAGGCUCCAUAAAAGCCACUUCCAGGAGCCUCACCGGAACCCAGAGACUUACUAGGAUUGAGACACAGGUACUUGUGUACCUGCCAUAUAUUACCUUUCUGUGCUAUUUCUACCCAGCGUAUACCUGACUCUUGUACUCACUCCCUUGUGAGCAGAGAAGUAUCUGUCUCAUCUUUCUUUCAAUAAAACUUUUUUCAUAGACA